GCUCUUGUAGUCUAGUGGCCAAGGACGCGGCCCUCUCGCGGCCGAAACCCGGGUUCGACUCCCGGCAGGAGCA
rnacentral:tRNA from 1 species